UGUUGGUGGGGUAAUGGCCUACCAAGGCUUCGACGGGUAGCCGGCCUGAGAGGGUGACCGGCCACACUGGGACUGAGACACGGCCCAGACUCCUACGAGAGGCAGCAGUGGGGAAUAUUGGACAAUGGGCGGAAGCCUGAUCCAGCAACGCCGCGUGAGGGAUGACGGCCUUCGGGUUGUAAACCUCCCUUUGUAGAGACGAAGCGUAAGUGACGGUACCUACAGAACACCUACCGGCCAACUACGUGCCAGCAGCCGCGGUAAUACGUAGGGUGCGAGCGUUGUCCGGAAUUAUUGGGCGUAAAGGGCUCGUAGGCGGUUUGUCGCGUCGGGAGUGAAAACACUGGGCUUAACUCAGUGCUUGCUUCCGAUACGGGCAGACUAGAGGUAUUCAGGGGAGAACGGAAUUCCUGGUGUAGCGGUGAAAUGCGCAGAUAUCAGGAGGAACACCGGUGGCGAAGGCGGUUCUCUGGGAAUUACCUGACGCUGAGGAGCGAAAGUGUGGGGAGCGAACAGGAUUAGAUACCCUGGUAGUCCACACCGUAAACGUUGGGCGCUAGGUGUGGGGUCCAUUCCACGGAUUCCGUGUCGCAGCUAACGCAUUAAGCGCCCCGCCUGGGGAGUACGGCCGCAAGGCUAAAACUCAAAGGAAUUGACGGGGGCCCGCACAAGCGGCGGAGCAUGCGGAUUAAUUCGAUGCAACGCGAAGAACCUUACCUGGGUUUGACAUACACCGGAAAGCUGCAGAGAUGUAGCCCCUUUUAGUCGGUGUACAGGUGGUGCAUGGCUGUCGUCAGCUCGUGUCGUGAGAUGUUGGGUUAAGUCCCGCAACGAGCGCAACCCUCGUCCUAUGUUGCCAGCAAGCCUUCGGGUGUUGGGGACUCAUAGGAGACUGCCGGGGUCAACUCGGAGGAAGGUGGGGAUGACGUCAAGUCAUCAUGCCCCUU
rnacentral:rRNA from 1 species